rnacentral:lncRNA from 1 species
AUUACAGGCGUGAGCCACUGCACCUGGCCAAUUUUUGUAUUUUUAGUAGAGACAGGGUUUUGCCAUGUUUGCCAGGCUGGUCUCGAACUCCUGACCUCAGGUGGUCUGCCUGCCUCAGCCUCCCAAAGUGCUGGGAUUACAAUUGUUAGCCACCACAGCUCGGCCAGUUCACAUGUUUUGUGUUUUUAUUUAUUUAUUUAUUUGUUUGUUUUUGAUUUUUUUUGUAUCUGUGUCUUAUCAUACAAUUAAAAAAUUAAAGAUUAUUUCAAAACCAAAUCCUCUAAUUUUUUUCCCAGGAAGUCCUUCAUGGACAUAAAACUGAAGUAAGUGGAUUGGAUAGAACUGGAAUCAAAAGUGACUCCUGGAUUUACAUAACAGAGCAAGGCAAGAAUCACAAAAACAUCACAAGGCCAUGUAUAGCUUAUAACAAGUUUGUUUUACAAACUCCUCCAAUGUAUUGCAAGGAUAGAGUACUUUGUAAGAUGGUCAGGAAUGGCUUUCCAGAAAAAGCAGGGCAGGAGCCAAAGCUUUUUUGUUGUUGUUGUUGUUGUUGUUGAGAUGGAGCCUCAAUCUGUCAUCCAGGCUGGAGUGCAGUGGCACAAUCUCAGCUCACUGCAACCUCUGCCUCCCAGGUUCAAGCGAUUCUCCUGCCUUAGCCCCCUGAGUAGCUGGGAUUACAGGCACCUGUCCAGCUAAUUUUUAUAUUUUUGUAGAGACGGGGUUUCACCAUGUUGCUCAGCCUGGCCUCGAACUCCUGAUUUCAAGUGAUCCACCUGCCUCCACCACCCAAAGUGCUGGGAUUACAGAUGUGAGCCACCGCGCCAGGCCAGGAGCCAAAUCUUGAGUUAGGAUUUGGAUACUUGAAACAGGCAUGCUGUAUAAGCAGAUGGAACUGAAUACACAAAAGCACAGAGAAGGGAAAACACAAAAUAUCUUCGCACAAUGUUCUUUCCUCCACUGGUUAACUUCUACUUAUCCUUCGUGUCCAAACAUUACUUGCUCAAAGAACUUUUCCUGUGUCUCCCAGAAAAGGUCAGGUUCUUAGCGCACUCUCCUUUGUAACUCUUACCACAGUUGUAAUUCAGUGGUGAAUUGUGAUCUUGGUCAUUUAGCAUCUCCUCUCCCAGAAGGCAGGGGACCUGGUUGUCUGAGUCAUAUCAUGUCUCCACUGCCUAGUCCUAACUAAGCCUUGCACUGCGUAGUCCUAAACCUUGCGUCAUAGACACUCAAUAAAAAUUGAUGAAAAUUUACGUGCGAACCCAUUCAGCUGGAAUAGAAGGUUCUGCAAGAUAAUUUUUUUUCUUAAGACAGAGUCUCACUCUGUCAUUCAGGGUGGGUUGCAGCAGUACAGUCACGGCUUACUGCAGCCUGGACCUCCCGGGCUCAAACCAUUCUCCCACCUGAGCCUCCUGAGUAGCUGGUACUACAGAUGUGUGCCACCAUGCCAGAUAAUUAAAUUUUUUUUGUAUGUGUGUGACGGAAUCACGCUUUGUUGCCCAGGCUGGAGUGCAAUGGCACAAUCUUGGCUCACUGCAACCUCCACCUCCCGGUUCAAGCGAUUCUCCUGCCUCAGCCUCCCCGAGUAGCUGGGACUACAGGUGUGCACCACCAUGCAUGGCUACUUUUUGUAUUUUUAGUAGAGAUGGGGUUUUGCCAGGUUGGCCAGGCUGGUCUUGAACUCCUGACUUCAGGUGAUCCACCCGUCUCAGCCUCCCAAAGUGCUGGGAUUACAGGCGCAAGUCACUGCGCCUGGCCUAAAAAAAUUUUUUAUAGAGAUGGGGAAUCACUUUGUUGCCUAACCUGGCAACAAAUUGCUGACCUCAAGUGAUCCUCCGGCCUCAGGCACCAAAAGUGCUGGGAUUACAGGCAAGAGCCACUGCACUCAGCCACAAGAGAUUUAAAGUUGGAAAUAUUAUUGGAAGCCAAAUGGUGAAUGACCUAGAAUGUUAAGAGUUAAAUGCUUAGUUUAUUUUUUUCUCUUUCUCAACAUGAAAAAUGUAUUGUCUCACAGUCCAAAGGCUAGAGGUAAUGACAGGGUUGAUUCCUUUUUUUUUUUUUUUGACACAGGGUCUCACUCUGUCACCCAGGCUAAAGUGUUAAAGUGUAGUGGUGCAAUCUUGGCUCACUGCAACCUCCACCUCCUGGGCUCAACCUCCUGGGCUCAUCCUCAGCCUCCUGAGUAGCUGGGACUACAGGUGCACACCACCAUGCACAGCUAAGUUUUGGAUUUUUUUUAGAGAUGGGGUUUUGCCACGUUGCCCAGGCUGAUCUCAAACUCUUGCGUUCAGGUCACCUGCCCGCCUAGCCUCCCAAAGUGCUGGGGUCACAGGUGGGAGCCAGGUUUGUUCCUUCUGAGAGCUCUGUUCCAGACCCCUCUCCUUGGUUUAUAGUUGGCUGUCUUCUCACGUGUCUCUUCACAUCAUCUCUCUACGUGUGUCUCUGUGUCCAAAUUUCCCCUUUUUAUAAGGACAACAGUCAUAUUGGACUGGGGCUCACCCAAAUGACCUCAUUUCAACUUGAUUACCAGUGUCAAAAAACCUAGUCUCCAAAUAAGGUCACAUCUGAGAUGCUAAGGGUGAGGUUUCCAACCUAUCUGUUUUGCUGAUGCAUGGUGCAGUGGCUCAUGCCUGUAAUCCCAGCACUUUGGGAAGCCAAGGUGGGAGGAUCCCUUGAGGCCUGGAGUUCGAGACCAGCAUGGUCAACAUGGCAAAAUCCAUCUCUACUAAAAAUACAAAAAUUAGCCGGGCAUGGUGGUGCACACCUGUAGUCUCAGCUAUCGGGAGGCUGAGGCACAAGAAUUGCUUGAACCUGGGAAUUGGAGGUUGCAGUGUGCCAAGAUCACACCACUACAUUCCAGUCUGGGCAACAGAGUGAGACCCUGUCUCAGAAAAAAAAAAAAAAAAAGCAGAGAUAUCUAAAUUGUCUUUGUAUUUCACAUGCCUUGAACCAUUUUUAUUUAAUUUUUUUUUGAGACGAAGUCUCGUUCUUGUUGUCCAGGCUGGAGUGCAGUGGCACAGUCUUGGCUCACCACAACCUCCGCUUCCUGGGUUCAAGCAAUUCUCGUGCCUCAGCCUCCUCAGUAGCUGGGACUGCAGGCACCCGCCACCAGGCCUGGCUAAUUUUUGUAUUUUUAGUAGAGACAGGGUUUCGCCAUGUUGGCCAGGCUGGUCUCAAACUCCUGACUUCAGGUGAUCCACCCACCUCAGUCUCCCAAAGUGCUAGGAUUACAGGCGUGAGCCAUCAUGCCUGGUCUAAUUUUUUUUUUUUUAAUUUUUGAGACAGGGUCUCUCUCUGUUGCCUAGGCUGGAGUGCAGUGGUGCGAACACAGCUGACCGCAGUCUUGACUUCCUGGGCUCAAGCAGUUCUCUUCCCUCAGCCUCCUGAGUAGCUGAGACUACAAGCACAUGCCACCAUAACCAGCUAAUUUUUUUAAUUUUUGUAGAGAUGAAGUCUGACCAUGUUUCCCAGGCUGGUCUGGAACUCCUGGGUUCAAGUGAGCCUCCCACCUUGGCCUCCCAAAGUGCUGGGAUCACACGCGUGAGCCACCGUGCGUGCCCUGCCUUAACAGUUUUUAAGUGUGCAGUCUAGUGAUAUUAAAUAUAUUUAAAAUGUUGUAAACCAUCACUACCAUCUAUCUCCACAACUCUUUUCAUCUCGUAAAACAAAAAACAUAUACCUAUUAAACAAUAACUUCCAACCCCUCUCCACCCACCCCCUGGAGACCACCAUUUUACUUUCUGUCUCUAUGAUUUUGACUAUGCUAAGUACCUUCUAUAAGUGGAAUCAUACAAUAUUUUUUGUGUGUAACUGGCUUACUUCAUCUAGCAUAAUAUCCCUAAGGGUCAUCCAUAUUGUAAUGUCUGAAAAUUUUUUUGUUUUUUAAGGCUGAAUAAUAUUUCAUUGUAUGUAUAUGCCACAUUUGGCUUAUCCAUUUAUUCACUGAUGAACACUGAUUGUUUCCAUAUUGUGUGUGUGUAUGUGUGUGUGUGUGUGUGUGUGUGUGUAUGGUUUUUUUUUGGAGACAGAGUCUCACUCUGUUGCCCAGGCUGGAGUGCAGUGGUGUGAUCUCCAUUCACUGCAACCACCACCUCCUGGGUUCAGGUGAUUCUCCUGCCUCAGCUUCCCGAGUAGCUAGGACUACAGGCAUGUGCCACGAUGCUGGGUUACUUUUUGUUGUUGUUGUUGUUUUGGUAGAGACAGGGUUUCACCAUGUUGGCCAGGCUGGUCUCCAAAUCCUAACCUCAAGUGAUCCACCUGCCUCGGCCUCCCAAAGUGCUGGGUGACUGGUGUGAGCCACUGCGCCCAGACUGUUUCCAUUUUUUGCUACCGUGAAUAAGACUGCUGUGAACAUGGGUGUAUAAAUAUUUUUUCAAGACCUUGCUUUCAAUUAUUUUGUGUAUACAGUCAUCCCUCAGUAUCCACAGGGGAUUGGUUCUAGGACACACUGAGGAUAUCAUAAUCCACAGAUGCUCAAGUCAUUUAUUUAAAAUGAGGUGGUAUUUGCAUAUAAUCUAUGCAUAUCCUCUUGUAUACUUUAAAUCAUCUUUAGAUUACUUAUAAUACCCAAUACAAUGUAAAUGCUGUGUAAAUAGUUGUUAUACUGUAUUGUUUAGGGAAUAAUGAUAGAAGAAAAGGUAUGUACAUCUUCAGAACAGACACAAUCAUCAUAGGCCUAACUACAAUGUCCAUGUGUAGCUGGUUGAAUCAACAUGCAGAACCCAUGGAUACAGAGGGCGAGCUAUAUACAAAGAUAUGGAAUUGCUACAUUGUAUAAUAAUUCUAUUUUUAAUUUUUUGAGGAAUUGCUACACUGUUUUCCAUAGUAGCUGCACCAUUUUAAAUUGCCAGCAACAGUGCAUAAGGGUUCCACUUUCUCCAUAUCCUCUCCAACACUUGUUAUUUCUGGCAUCUUAGUUACUUUCUUUUUAAUAGUAACUAAAGGACACUUUUACAUGUAUAGAAUCCUUAGUUGACAGGUUUUUUUUUUUUCUUUUGAGACAGUCUUGCUGUCGCCCAGGCUGGAGUGCAGUGGCGCGAUCUCAGCUCACUGCAACCUCUGCCUCCUGGGUUCAAGUGAUUCUCCUGCCUCAGCCUCCAGAGUAGCUGGGAUUACAGGUGCCUGCCACCACGCCCAGCUAAUUUUUGUGUUUUUAGUAGAGAUGAGGUUUCACCAUGUUGGCCAGGCUGGUCUUGAACUGCUGACCUCAGGUGACCUGCCUGCCUUAGUCUCCCAAAGUGCUGGCAUUACAGGCAUGAGCCACCAUGCCUGGACUGUUUGUUCUUUUCUGUUUGCUCCUCAAAGUAAUUUCAAAUGUACUUUCUUCAAGUUUGUUCAUUCUCUUCUACCUGCUCGAUCCUUCCAUUGACUCUACUGAAUUUUUCAGUUUAGUUAUUGUAUUUUUCAUCUCCAGAAUUUUUGCUUAGGUUCUUUUUAUAAUUUCUAUCUCUUUAUUGAUAUUCUCAUUUUAUUAAUAUAUAAUUUUGCUGAUUUCCUUUAGUUCUUUGUCCAUGCUUUUCUUUAACUAUUCAAGCAUAUUUAAGAUGGUUUUAAGGUCUUUGUCUAGUAAGUCUGAUACCUGUGUCUCUUCAGGAAUAAUUUCUUUAUUUUCUUUUUAUGAGAUGCAGUCUUGCUCUGUGACUCAGGCUGGAGUGCAGUGGUGCAAUCUCAACUCACUGCAACCUCCCGGGUUCAAGUGAUUCUCCUGCCUUAGCCUCUUGAGUAGCUGGGAUUACAGGUGCCCACCACCACACCCAGCUCAUUUUUGUAUUUUUAGUAGAGACGGGGUUUCACCAUGUUGGCCAGGCUGGUCUUGAACUCCUGACCUCAAGUGAUCUGCCUGCCUCGGCCUCCCAAAGUGCUGGGAUUAGAGGCGUGAGCUAGUGCUCCCAGCCUCUCCAGAUAUAAUUUCUGCCACUUCAUUUUCUUCCUUGAAAUAGUCCAUGUUACCUUGGUUUUUUUUUUUUUUUUUUUUUUUGAGACGGAGUCUUGCUCUUUUGCCCAGGCCAGACUGCAGUGGCGCUAUCUCGGCUCACUGCAAGCUCCACCUCCCGGGUUCAUGCCAUUCUCCUGCCUCAGCCUCCAGAGUAGCUGGGACUACAGAAGUCCGCCACCACGCCCGGCUAAUAUUUUGUAUUUGUAGUAGAGAAGGGUUUCACCGUGUUAGCCAGGGUGGUCUUGAUCUCCUGGCCUCGUGAUCCACCUGCCUCAGCCUCCCAAAGUGCUGGGAUUACAGGCGUGAGCCACCGCACCCGGCCUUGUUUUUUUAAAUACAAUUUGUGAUUUUUGUUGUUGGAAAGUAGGCAUUUGAAAAGGCAGCCAUUUCUUUGUCUGCAGAUUGGGUCUGUGCCAGUGAACUCCUUCACUAAUUAGCAGGACAUUUUUUGUGUCUUGGGAUCGGCCUGAGGAGAAAGCAAAAUGUCUUGGUCCAUUUUGUGCUGCUAUUACAGAAUAUUACAGACUGGGUACUUUACAGAGAACAGAAAUGUAUUUCUCACAGUUCUGGAGGCUGGAAAGUCCAAGCAGAAGGUGCCCACAUCUGGUGUGAUAAGGGCUUUCUUGCUGGAUCCUCACAUGGCACAAGGCAGAGGGUACAAAGGGAUGAAAUGUGUGUCCUCACAUGGCAGUAAGCCCUUUAUACAGUGGUAUUAAUCCAUUAAUGAGGGCAGAGCCCUCAUGACCUCCCAUUAGGCCCCACCUCCCAAUACUAUUGUAAUGGGGAUUACAUUUCAACAUAAAUUUUUGGAGAAGAGAAAAACAUUCAAACCAUAGCAUUCUCCCCUAGCUCCCCUAAUCCAUAUCUUUCUCACAUCCAAAAUAUCUUCAUUCCAUCCUAAUAACCCCAAGAAGUCUUAAUUUGUUUCAGCAUCACCCUUAAAAGUCUAAGCUUCAAAGUCUUAUCUAAAUCAUGCUGGGUGAGGUGGCUCACGCCUGUAACUUUGGGAGCACUUUGGGAGGCUGAGGCAGGGGGAUCAUUUGAGGUCAGGAGUUCGAGAAAACCUGGCCAACAUGGAGAAACCCCAUCUCUACUAAAAAUACAAAAAUUAGCCAGGUGUGGUGGUGCAUGCCUUUAGUCCCAGCUACUUGGGAGGCUAAGGGAAGGGAACUGCUUGAACCCAGGAGGUGGAGGUUGCAGUAGUGAGCUGAGAUCACACCACUGUACUCCAGCCUGGGCAACAGAGCAAGACUCCACCUUAAAAAAACAAAGCAAAAGCCUUGUCUGGGAAAUCUGCUGGUCCCCUUAUUAAUUUUCUUUCUUUUUAGAUGGAGUCUCACUCUGUCACCCAGGCUGGAGUGUAGUGGUGUGAUCUCAGCUCACUUCAACCUCCAUCUCCCAGGUUCAAGCCAUUCUCAUGCCUCAGCCUCCUGAGUAGUUGGGACUACAGGCUGCACCACUGCAUCUGGCUAGUUUUGGUAUUUUUGUAGAGACAGGGUUUCACCAUGCUGACCAGGCUGGUCUCAAACUCCUGACCUCAGGUAAGCCACCUGUCUCAGUCUCCAAGUGCUGGAAUUACAGGCAAGAGCCACCACACCUGGCCCCAGACAAGGCUUUUAUUUCGGGGCUUGUGCCCCAGUACAAGGACGCUCCAGCUGACUCUCUGAAAAAAGCCAGUAGGAGUGCUUUUUUUUAAUUAGACAAAGUGUGGGAAUUGACAUCAGGGGUAAGGUUUGCAGGCUGAGCUGGUAGCACAUGAUGGGCAAGGCAUGCAAGUCGGCAUAUCUGGUUGCAAUGGUUAUCUUGGGUAAUGGACAAUUUAGUGGUCUGGCCGGUGACAAAAGGGCUGUAAAUCAAUUACUCAGCAUUUCUUCCUGAGGUGGAACACUCCCCAACCUCACUCUGAUAUUUAGAUUUUCUAAGGCCAGUUCCUGGAAUUUUUUUUUUUCUUUGAGACAGAGUCUCACUCUGUCCCCCAGGCUAGAGUGCAGUGGCACAAUCUUGGCUCACUGCAACCUCUGCUUCUGAAUUCAGUUCAAGCAAUUCUCGUGCCUCAGCCUCCAGAGUAGGUGGGACUACAAACGCAUGCCACCACACUCAGCUAAUUUUUUGUAUUUUUAGUAGAGACGGGAUUUUGCCAUGUUGCCCAGGCUGGUCUCGAACUCCUGAGCUCAGGUGACAGGUGAUCCACCCACCUUGGCCUCCCAAAGUGCUGGGAUUACAGGCACGAGCCACACACCUGGCUUAUUUCCUGGAAUUCUUUAAGUGAAAGGCAUGGUUAAACAUUAUGGCAUCAGUGAGGUAGUGGUGUGGGGUUUUUUGUUGUUGUUUUUUAAUUUUUGUGGGUACAUAGUAGGUGUAUUAUUUAUGGAUUACAUGAGAUGUUUUGAUAGUCAUGCAAUGUGUAAUAAUCACAUCAUAGAAAAUGGGGUAUCCAUCCCUUCAAGCACUUACCCUUUGUGUUAUAAGCAAUCUAGGAUGGGUGCAGUGGCUCAUACCUGUAAUCCCAGCACUUUGGGAGGCCGAGGCAGGUGAAUCACCUUAGGUCAGGAGUUCAAGAUCAGCCUGGCCAACAUGGUGAAACCCCCAUCUCUACUUAAAAAAAAAAAAAAAAAAAUUAGCCAGGUACGGUGGCGCUUGCCUAUAAUCCCAGCUACUCUGGAGCUGAGGAGGGAGAGUUGCUUAGAACCCAGGGGCAGAGGUUGCAGUGAGCCGAGAUCGUGCCACUAUAGUCCAGCCUGGGCAACAGAGUGAGACUUGGUCUCAAAAACAAAAACAAACAAACAAACAAACAAAAUCUAUACUUUUAGUUAUUCUUAUUUUUAAAUUUUAAUUAUUUUGAGACACAGUUUCGCUUUGUCACUAGGGCUGGAGUGUAGUUGCGUAAUCUCAACUCACUGCAACCUCUGCCACCUGGGUUCAAGUGACUCUCCUGCCUCAGCCUUCUGAGUAGCUGGGAUUACAGGCGCACACCACCACACCUGGAUAAUUUUUGUAUUUUUAGUAAAGGUGGGGUUUCACCAUGUUCGCCUGGCUGGUCUCAAACUCCUGACCUCAGGUGAUCCAAAAGCGCUGGGAUUACAGGCAUGAGCGACCAUGCCUGGCCAUUAUUUUUUUAAUUUUUAAUUUUUGUGGGUAGAUAGUAGGUGUAUAUAUUUAUGGGAUACUUUGAUACAGGUAUGCAAUGCAUAAUAAUCACAGGGUAAAGGGGGUAUCCAUCCCCUCAAGCAUUUAUUCUUUGUGUUACAAACAAUGCAAUUAUGCUCUUUAUUUUUAAAUUGAGGCUGGACACGGUAGCUCACCCAUGUAAUUCCAGCACUUUGGGUGGCUAAGGCAAGCGUAUUGCUUGUGCUCAGGAGUUUGAGACCAGCUUGGGCAAUGAGAUAAAACCCCGUCUCUACAAAAAAAUACAAAAAAAUUAGCCUGGUGUGGUGGCACACACCUGUGGUCCCAGCUACUCGGGAGGCUGAGGUGGGAGGAUUGCUUGAGCCCAGGUUGCUUGAGCCCAUGAGCUGAGACUGCACCACUGCACUCCAACCUGGGUGACAGAAUGAGACCUUGUCUCAAAAAAAAAAAAAAAAAAGUACAAUAAAUCUUUGAUUGUAGUCACCCUGUUGUGCUAUCAAAUACUAGAUCUUAUUCCUUCUAUCUAAUUAUAUUGUUGUAUCCAUUAGCCAUCCCCCCCAACCCCCACUACCCUUCCUAGCCUCUGAUAACCAUUCUUCAAAUCUCUACCUCCAUUAAUUAAGUUGUUUUAAUUUUUUUUUAUUUUUUUUUUGAGACAGAGUCUCACUCUGUUACCCAGGCUGGAGUACAGUGGCACGAUCUCAGCUCACUGAAACCUCCGCCUCCCGGGUUCAAGCAAUUCUCCUGCCUCAACCUCCCAAGUAGCUGGGAUACAGUUGCCUGCCACCACACCCAGCUACUUUUUGCAUUUUUAGUAGAAAUGGGGUUUCACCAUGUUGGCCAGGCUGGUCUUGAAUUCCUGACCUCAUGAUCCACCCUCCUUGGCCUCCCAAAGUGCUGGGAUUACAGGCGUGAGCCACUGAGCCUGGCCAAUUUUUAUUUCUGAAACAUUUAUUAUUAAUGUGAUGGGAAAAUUACACAGAAUAUAUGUUCAUUUCUUAUAAAGUUAAGUCUUCCAGAACCUGGUUUAACAAAAAACUGAGGUUAAAUUCAGGUCUCAAAUAUAGAAACUUAAACUUUUCUUGAAAUCCAAUUAAAAAUGUAGAUCUAGGCUGGGCGAGGUGGCUCACGCCUGUAAUCCCAGCACUUUGGGAGGCUGAGGUGGGCAAGGUCAGGAGAUUGAGACCAUCCUGGCUAACACGGUGAAACCCUGUCUCUACUAAAAAAUACAAAAAAUUAGCCCAGCUACUCGGGAGGCAGAGGAAGGCGAAUGGCAUGAACCCAGGAGGCGGAGCUUGCAGUGAGCCUAGAUGGCGCCACUGCACUCCAGCCUGGGUGACAGAGCGAGACUCCGUCUCAAAAAAAAAAAAAAAAAAAAAAAGUAGAUCUAAAUAGAGUCAGUCUUUUAAGAAAAAAAUCACACAUUUUAGCCUCAGUCAGAUUUCACUUUAUUUGUAUCGAUGACAAUAUUAACUCUUCAGAUUUAUAAAAUGACAAAACUUGAUAAUUACCUGGAAACAA